rnacentral:rRNA from 1 species
AUUGAACGCUGGCGGCAGGCCUAACACAUGCAAGUCGAGCGGAUGAAGGGAGCUUGCUCCUGGAUUCAGCGGCGGACGGGUGAGUAAUGCCUAGGAAUCUGCCUGGUAUUGGGGGAUAACGUCCGGAAACGGGCGCUAAUACCGCAUACGUCCUGAGGGAGAAAGUGGGGGAUCUUCGGACCUCACGCUAUCAGAUGAGCCUAGGUCGGAUUAGCUAGUUGGUGGGGUAAAGGCUUACCAAGGCGACGAUCCGUAACUGGUCUGAGAGGAUGAUCAGUCACACUGGAACUGAGACACGGUCCAGACUCCUACGGGAGGCAGCAGUGGGGAAUAUUGGACAAUGGGCGAAAGCCUGAUCCAGCCAUGCCGCGUGUGUGAAGAAGGUCUUCGGAUUGUAAAGCACUUUAAGUUGGGAGGAAGGGCAGUAAGUUAAUACCUUGCUGUUUUGACGUUACCAACAGAAUAAGCACCGGCUAACUUCGUG